UACGUAGGGCGCAAGCGUUAUCCGGAAUUAUUGGGCGUAAAGAGCUCGUAGGCGGUUUGUCGCGUCUGCCGUGAAAGUCCGGGGCUCAACUCCGGAUCUGCGGUGGGUACGGGGCAGACUAGAGUGAUGUAGGGGAGGACUGGAAUUCCUGGUGUAGCGGUGAAAUGCGCAGAUAUCAGGAGGAACACCGGUGGCGAAGGCGGGUCUCUGGGCCGUAACUGACGCUGAGGAGCGAAAGCAUGGGGAGCGAACAGG
rnacentral:rRNA from 1 species